rnacentral:lncRNA from 1 species
UUCUCAGCCAUAACUUCGAGAAACCAAAAUCUAUUUUCACAAAAGGUAGUAUGGCACAUAAAUUGACUUGCAUAUCAUACACAUAUGCAUUUUCUGCAAAUUGCUAAUCAAAGCUUUUUAAAAGGAAUAAGCUAUCUUUUACAUGUAUAUGUUGGUGUGUGUACUGCUGUGUGCGUGGGUUUUAGAGGGGCUGUGUCGUCGUCCGAAUUGAGGGAGAACGGAGGAGGUCGUCCGAAUUCAGGGAGAACGGAGGAGGUCGUCCAAAUUGAGGGAGAACGGAGGAGGGAGAGGGGAUUGGCGACGGCGGCGGUGGCCUGAUGCUCCUGCUGCC